AAAUCAGAAAGGGACGCAUCACAACGGGAUAAUUUUCCAUAUCAGCCAAUAACCCACACACUUUUUCCUUUCACUUUACCAAUUCCAAACACACACACACACGGAUGAGAGAGAGAGAGGGAAAAAAGAAAGGAGAAAAGGAAGAGAAGAAGAAGGAGAGAAUAAUGAAGGUAGCUUGGAAAAGCUAAUCCAAGCAAGAAGAAAGCCAUUAGAAGCCUCAUCAAGUUGUAAGAGGUGAGCAUUUUACCUUUUAUGUAUAUGUAUAGUUUUAGAGUUUUGUUUUGAGUUAAAGUCCUAGAUCUACCAUGAUAGGGUUAAAUGUAAGACUUGAAUCUGAGUUAUUGUAGUCCCUUUGAGUUGUAUUUGAUAUCCUAGAAGCCUUGAAAGAAAUGGAAAGAGUUCAGAGUUGAUUUGGUAUGAGAGGAAGAAGAAACUGGGAGUUCACAGGAAAAGGGUUUGAACGCUUUUACUGUGGUUCGAACGUUUUGGUUCGAACGUUUUGGGAAGGGUUCAACGGUGUCGUUUGAACGUUUUUUUCACUGUGGUUCGAACGGGAUGCCUGAGGCUUAAAUGGGGAUGGAAUUGUGCUCUGCACAUCUUAAGUUAUCCUAAUCCUAGUGCACAAAGAAGUUUAAACGGAUAUGCCUUGGGUAGGAAAUUAGAAGUUUUUUAUUAAAUUUUAAGUUUUUCCUUAUCAUAUUGGUGAUCAUGAGGUAAUUAUAACAAUACCUCUGUCCUUUAUUGUAGGAACCCGACAUUUUAAAGUCUAGUUAAGAGAUGCGGUGAGUAACAUGAUGCCAUGAACAAAAUUAUGUACUUUCAAAAUGUUUUCCACACAUAUUAUGUAAUUCAAGGGUUUUUCCAUAUUUUUAAUGCAUUAAAGUUAUGUUAUCAAUAUAAAUGCCAUGUCUUCAAUGUAUGAUAAUGGUAAUUUUUUUUACUAUGUACGAAAGAAUACCCAUGGAUGUUUGCUUCAAACGAAAUGUAUAUUUCAGGUAUAUGCCAUGUGACACUCGGGAUCUCCCUGUGGUGGGACCUUAAUCUACCCUAAUGGUUCCUAGAAGGUAAAUGAGGGACGUGAAAUAAAUAAUUUACAAGGAUAUCCGGUCUAAAGAGCCACCCGACCUAUAUUGUCCCAUGUUAUGUUAUGUUAUGUAAUCCGAGUUGUUACGUUUUCAUGAUAUGUUAUGUACGUUUAUGAAAACAAGUGUCCAUGUUUAUGUAAGAUCAAGUUUACGACUAAUAUUUCAAGAAAGUAUGUUACGCUCACUUGUUUCAUCACACGUAUGAUGCAUGUAUGAUAUGAAUUUAUCAAUGGUAUUUUACGUUCAUGCAUCUGUCGUUAUUCACAAAACUUUAGCUUACGUUUUCGAAAACCUUUUCAGGAAACCAAAGUGAAGAACCAUAGGAUGAGGUUGAAGCACAGAUUUUAGUUUUGCUAGCCCAAGGGCUUUGUAUGUAUUUUGUGGGCUAGACCCGUCUUGGAAAUUAUGUGUAAUUAAAGUUAGCCUGGGAAUGUAUGCAAAGUUUAAAACUUAGACACAACUCUGUAUGUACGGUAUGGAC
rnacentral:lncRNA from 1 species